UUUAAAUGAGGUAUAACUUGGGGUUGGGGGUACACAAGAGAAACCAGACUCCUGAAAGGGGUACAGUAGUUUGGAAAGGUUGAGAGCCACUGCUCUGAGCAGUGUCCA